GAUGAACGCUAGCUACAGGCUUAACACAUGCAAGUCGAGGGGAAUCGUCAUCGUACUUUUGCUUUUGAUGUUUAGCGACGGGCGCAUGUGUGAGAAACGUGUAUCCCUCCCCUCCACCACUUGUAUAAACCCUUGACAAAUUAACAAUAAUACCAUACGAGUUUCCUCGAAGGCAUUCGCAUGAGAGGAAGAACUUCUCGGUGAUGUAUGGGGAUGCGUCUGAUUAGCUUGUUGGCGGGGUGACGGCCCACAAAGGAAACGAUCAGUAGGGGUUCUGAGAGGAAGGUCCCCCACAUUGGAACUGAGACGCGGACCAAACUCCUACGGGAGGCAGCAGUGAGGAAUAUUGGUCAAUGGGCGAGAGCCUGAACCAGCCAAGUAGCGUGCAGGAUGACGGCCCUAUGGGUUGUAAACUGCUUUUAUAAGGGAAUAAAGUGGGUCACGUGUGACUUUUUGCAUGUACCUUAUGAAUAAGGACCGGCUAAUUCCGUG
rnacentral:rRNA from 1 species